rnacentral:rRNA from 1 species
GUGCCAGCCGCCGCGGUAAGACGGAGGUCCCUAGCGUUGUUCGGAAUCACUGGGCUUAAAGCGCGUGUAGGCGGAAGGCAGUACCUUGUGAAAUCCCCGGGCUCAACCCGGGAAUGGCUGGGUAUACUGCCUUUCUUGAGGCAGGUAGGGGUCACUGGAACCUUGGGUGGAGCGGUGAAGUGCGUAGAUAUCUAAGGGAACGCCUGUGGCGAAAGCGGGUGACUGGGCCUGUCCUGACGCUGAGACGCGAAAGCGUAGGGAGCAAACGGGAUUAGAUACCCCGGUAGUCUACGCUGUAAACGAUGCGCACUAGGUUCGAAGGUCCCUGACGACACUCGAGCCGAAACAAAAGCGAUAAGUGCGCCGCCUGGGGAGUACGGCCGCAAGGCUAAAACUCAAAGGAAUUGACGGGGGCUCACACAAGCGGUGGAGCAUGUGGAUCAAUCCGAAGCAACGCGAAGAACCUUACCUGGGUUUGACAUGCACGGAUGCCGUCCAUGAAAGUGGAGCCGGCUGCCUUCGGGUGAAACGUGUACAGGUGCUGCAUGGCUGUCGUCAGCUCGUGCUGUGAAGUGUCGGGUUAAGUCCCUUAACGAGCGAAACCCUUAUCUCUAGUUGCCAACGGGUCAUGCCGGGAACUCUAGUGAGACUGCCGGCGUUAAGCCGGAGGAAGGUGGGGACGACGUCAAGUCAUCAUGGCCUUUAUGCCCAGGGUGUCACACGUGCUACAAUGGGGCGUACAGAGCG